rnacentral:misc_RNA from 1 species
GAUGAAGAACGUAGCGAAAUGCGAAAAGUAAUGUGAAUUGCAGAAUUCAGUGAAUCAUCGAAUCUUUGAACGCACAUUGCGCCCGCCAGUAUUCUGGCGGGCAUGCCUGUUCGAGCGUCAUUUCAACCCUCAAGCACAGCUUGGUGUUGGGACUCGCGUUAAUUCGCGUUCCCCAAAUUGAUUGGCGGUCACGUCGAGCUUCCAUAGCGUAGUAGUAAAACCCUCGUUACUGGUAAUCGUCGCGGCCACGCCGUUAAACCCCAACUUCUGAAUGUUGACCUCGGAUCAGGUAGGAAUACCCGCUGAACUUAAGCAUAUCAAUAAGCGGAGGA